rnacentral:rRNA from 1 species
CCUACGGGCGGCAGCAGUGGGGAAUAUUGGACAAUGGGGGGAACCCUGAUCCAGCCAUGCCGCGUGUGUGAAGAAGGCCCUCGGGUUGUAAAGCACUUUCAGUGAGGAAGAACGCCUGGUGGUUAAUACCCAUCAGGAAAGACAUCACUCACAGAAGAAGCACCGGCUAACUCCGUGCCAGCAGCCGCGGUAAUACGGAGGGUGCGAGCGUUAAUCGGAAUUACUGGGCGUAAAGCGCGCGUAGGUGGCUUGAUAAGCCGGUUGUGAAAGCCCCGGGCUCAACCUGGGAACGGCAUCCGGAACUGUCAAGCUAGAGUGCUGGAGAGGAAGGUAGAAUUCCCGGUGUAGCGGUGAAAUGCGUAGAGAUCGGGAGGAAUACCAGUGGCGAAGGCGGCCUUCUGGACUGACACUGACACUGAGGUGCGAAAGCGUGGGUAGCAAACAGGAUUAGAUACCCGUGUAGUC